GAUGAACGCUGGCGGCGUGCCUAAUACAUGCAAGUCGAGCGAAUGGAUUAAGAGCUUGCUCUUAUGAAGUUAGCGGCGGACGGGUGAGUAACACGUGGGUAACCUGCCCAUAAGACUGGGAUAACCCCGGGAAACCGGGGCUAAUACCGGAUAACAUUUUGAACCGCAUGGUUCGAAAUUGAAAGGCGGCUUCGGCUGUCACUUAUGGAUGGACCCGCGUCGCAUUAGCUAGUUGGUGAGGUAACGGCUCACCAAGGCAACGAUGCGUAGCCGACCUGAGAGGGUGAUCGGCCACACUGGGACUGAGGCACGGCCCAGACUCCUACGGGAGGCAGCAGUAGGGAAUCUUCCGCAAUGGACGAAAGUCUGACGGAGCAACGCCGCGUGAGUGAUGAGGGCUUUCGGGUCGUAAAACUCUGUUGUUAGGGAAGAACAAGUGCUAGUUGAAUAAGCUGGCACCUUGACGGUACCUAACCAGAAAGCCACGGCUAACUACGUGCCAGCCGCCGCAGUAA
rnacentral:rRNA from 1 species